AAAAAAAAUCCAAUUUAUAUAAAGUAAAGCAAAACUUUUGAAUGUUUAGAUCUCACCUCCAUGGCAGUUGGCUCCAAAAUCUCUAUUAAAUUCCUUCAAACUCUCCUUCAGAUCUCACUUCUCUCAUCCCCUUCCUUUUUCCCCUUCCAAAUAUAACUUCCACUCUUUCCUGGGAGUGCAGGGAGGCUGGUUAAGCACAUGGGCUACGGGGCACAUCUUGCUGAGUUUAAAUUUAGUCCUGUCACUGUCUAACUUGGGCAGGUACUUGGCACAUGGUAAGCACUCAAUAAAUGUAAUCCAUUGAUGUUACUGUUAUUAGUAUUCUUCAAAUUCUGUUGGUUUCUCCAAUAUGUUUUUUUCCUUGAGCCCACUUUUCCAUCCUUGCAACAAGGAAAGUGUAUUCAUUUCCCAGGGGUAAGAAAUUAUCACAACCUUGGGGGCUUAAAACCACAGAAAUCGAUUUCCCCACAGUUCUGGAGACCAGAAGUCCAGAAUGAAGCUAGCGGCGGGGCCACACCCCCUCCAGAGGCUCUCCUGGAGAUUCAGUUCCUUGCAUCCUCCAACUUCUCGUGGCUUUUAGCAUUCCUUGGGUCGUGGCUGCAUCGCUCCAAUCCCAGCCUCUGUCUCCACGUGGCCUUCCCCUGGCCUCUCUUGUCUGUGUCUCUUCCAAAGACACUUGUUGCUGGAGGUAAGGCCCACACAGAUAAUCCAGGAUGAUCUCAUUUUGAGAACCUUAACUUAAUUACAUCUGCAAAGACCCUUUUUCCAAAUAAGUUCUUUUUCACAGAUUCUGGAGAAGGGUGGGUAGACAUGGAUAUAUUUGUGGGAGUGCAUUUAUCCCACUACAAAAUGACACUGGGUCCUUCUCCUUGUGGAUGGUGGGUGGGGAGAGGGUUGCACACUCCUGUAAUUCUUUUUUUUUUUUUUUUUUCUUUUCUCCUUAUCAUGCUGAAUAUAUCAAGUCAGCAGCCAGCAUCAGGUACCUGGGAAUGAGGAAGGAAAGACAGGCAGAUGGCAGAGGGGCCUGUCAACUUCUCCUUUUCACUGACACUCACACCACUCUUUCAUUUGCAACCACAGAAUACCUAACUGCAAGAACUGCCUCAUCCCAGGUGGUCUGACCGUGUCUCUGAGCUAAGCGGCGGAUUUCAGCCACAGGGUCUGACUCUCAGGCAGACACAUCCUGUCCAAGGACUGGAGACAGAGCAUCCGUUCUCCCCCCCGGAGCGGUCAGCUGCAUGUGGCUGCUUGGGGGGCGGUUCAGUGGACCAAGAGACAUGAAGCCCGUCUUCUGCCCUCGCCUCUUUCUCUAUCUUGCUGCAUGACCUUGGAAGGUGGCCUGAUCUCUUGUCUUCUUUGCUGCCUCAUCUGUCAUGAUCCACCUUUACUACUUCAUAGCCAUGUUCUAGGAUAAAUGAGAGAAGCCUCUACAUCUUUUAGUCUCCCAGAAAGACUGGAACCAGGUGCAGUAGCUUAUGCCUGUAAUCCCAG